rnacentral:rRNA from 1 species
AGAGUUUGAUCCUGGCUCAGGAUGAACGCUGGCGGCGUGCCUAAUACAUGCAAGUCGAACGAGAACCGAUGGAUUCGUCUGUCGGGGAGAGUGGCGAACGGGUGAGUAACACGUAGGUGACCUGCCCCAAAGCGGGGGACAACCGUUGGAAACGGCGGCUAAUACCCCAUGUGCUCGCUGGGAUUAGAGGCCCGGCGAGGAAAGCUCCGGCGCUUUGGGAGGGACCUGCGGCCCAUCAGCUAGUUGGUGAGGUAAUGGCUCACCAAGGCGACGACGGGUAGGGGGCCUGAGAGGGUGGCCCCCCACACUGGAACUGCGACACGGUCCAGACUCCUACGGGAGGCAGCAGUAAGGAAUAUUGCGCAAUGGGCGAAAGCCUGACGCAGCAACGCCGCGUGGGCGAUGAAGGCCUUCGAGGUUGUAAAGCCCUUUUCUGGGGGAUGAGACAAGGACAGUACCCCAGGAACAAGUGUCGGCUAACUACGUGCCAGCAGCCGCGGUAAAACGUAGGACACGAGCGUUAUCCGGAUUUACUGGGCGUAAAGCGUGUGCAGGCGGUGCGGUAAGUCGGACGUGAAAGCUCCCGGCUCAACUGGGAGAGGCCGUUCGAAACUCCCGCACUAGAGGGCAGGAGAGGAGCGUGGAAUUCCGGGUGGAGUGGUGAAAUGCGUAGAUAUCCGGAGGAACACCAGUGGCGAAAGCGGCGCUCUGGACUGCUCCUGACGCUAAGACACGAAAGCUAGGGUAGCGAACGGGAUUAGAAACCCCGGUAGUCCUAGCCGUAAACGAUGCAGACUAGGCGUUGGAGGGGUCAUUGACCCUACCAGUGCCGUAGCUAACGCGUUAAGUCUGCCGCCUGGGGACUACGGCCGCAAGGCUAAAACUCAAAGGAAUUGACGGGGGCCCGCACUAGCAGCGUAGCGUGUGGUUUAAUUCGAGGCUACGCGAAGAACCUUACCUGGGCUUGACAUGACGGUUGUAGGGACCCGAAAGGGAACCGACCCCUCGGGGAGCCGCCACAGGUGCUGCAUGGCUGUCGUCAGCUCGUGCCGUGAGGUGUUAGGUUAAGUCCUGUAACGAGCGCAACCCUUGCCGUUAGUUACAUGUGUCUAACGGGACUGCCGGGGCAACCCGGAGGAAGGUGGGGAUGACGUCAAGUCAGCAUGGCCUUUAUGUCCAGGGCUACACACACGCUACAAUGGCCGGUACAAUAGGUAGCCAAGCCGCGAGGCGGAGCUAAUCCUCCAAAGCCGGUCUCAGUUCGAAUUGUAGGCUGCAACUCGCCUGCAUGAAGCUGGAGUUGCUAGUAACCGCAGGUCAGCUACACUGCGGUGAAUACGUUCCCGGGCCUUGUACUCACCGCCCGUCACGUCAUGGGAGCUGGCAACACCUGAAGUCGGUGUGCUAACCGUAAGGAGGCAGCCGCCCAAGGUGGGGCUGGUGACUGGGACGAAGUCGUAACGAGGUA